AACCUAGCACACCUGCGGUGUGUACCUGCGGAGGGAUCAUUACCGAGUUUACAACUCCCAAACCCCUGUGAACAUACCUAUACGUUGCCUCGGCGGAUCAGCCCGCGCCCUGUAAAACGGGACGGCCCGCCCGAGGACCCUAAACUCUGUUUUUAGUGGAACUUCUGAGUAAAACAAACAAAUAAAUCAAAACUUUCAGCAACGGAUCU
rnacentral:misc_RNA from 1 species